CUUCUGCUAUGUUGAUAAAAGAUUGAAGGAUCGUUGUGAGGCACAUCGAUGUCACGAGUUCGUCGCUGCCAUCGGCAUGGGCUCCGUCAUGAUGAUUUUGAUCUGUGGAUACUCUCUAGGGGUAUGGUAUGGAGCCACGCUGAUCAUAGAGAAGGGAUACACUGGUGCCCGGCUCAUCAAUGCCAUCUUUGCGGUGCUUACCCACUCGCUAUAAGAAAGAGAAGGUAUGUUUCACAACCAUCAAAGGUUGAUGCUGGGUGGCAUCGUCCUGGCCGUCGGGCACCAUCGCGAGUUCUUCCUUGAUGGUAUUGUCAU